ACUGCCUGCAUACACAGGAGACAGGGAGCCGAUCCCCAACAUAGUUCCGCUGCACAGUUUUUAUUCCAUCAGUGUGAAUUUAGUCAGGUCCUGACCACUCUCAUCCUCGAGCAUAUCAUCACACAGUUGCCCCUGCAACUGCUUCAGUAAAGCAGACUAAGAUCUACAUGGAGCCUCAUCCUGUCUUCAGAUACUCCCCUUUGCAGUUUGUACAGAUUAAACCAUGUCUUGUAACUCUGGAGAAGAUGAAACUCCCAGUGAACUUGUAAUGGACAGCCCUGAAGACACAUGCAAUAACCACUGAGUCUCAUCCAAGAGAGCAGGGAAGCCACUCAAAUCUUGGAAACCACUACCUUGGAGAUAGCAGAUUCUGGGGGUUGUAUAGAUAAGAGAAUUCUGGCAAGGAGAGCAGUGGGCAAUAAGGAGUACGAAAAUCAACUUCCUGCUCUACAGUUCACCUCAAGACGGAGCAAAGUAAAGCCUCUGUGUUUGCAAAGGUACCUGUUAGAGUCACAUUCAGGAAAAAAAGAACCACCACCAACCCUUCCAAAUAGGUCUUCACAGAAUAUUAAUACUGAACUUAUUCAUUCAAAUGUGAAACGGCAUUUUUUGUAGGUAAAUUCUCACAUAAAGAACUUACUGCUGUUGCUGCUAAAGUCAUGACAAUCUAUGGAGUCACAUCAUUCCUAAAAUAAAGCUCAGACCAUGAGUUUCCAAAAUCAGGAUCUUUGAAUGAUUCCUUCUGGAAAACAGCAAGAAGAAACCUGCAAGGUAAAAAGUAAGAGCAGCAGAAAGAAGGAUGUUGAGAGGGAAGGAACAAGAACAAACUGAAAAAAACAAGAGCAGCAGGAAUAAAUGGAAAAAAAAUGAAAGCAAAGUUGGAAAAAGAACAGAGGAGCACAGAGGAUACGUGCUUAGCAACAAUGACCUUUAAAGUGAAAAGGAAACAACUGAAAAAUAAUGUAAAACCUCUGUAUUCUUUGCUUUGUUUUCUGCCAGCCAAAUGUAUAUAUCCAAACCUAUAGAUGUUUAUGUAUGAAGAAAUAUAUAUAACCAAGUAUCCGCUAAUGUAAUAGAAGACUAAUAUGGCACACAAUGUGAAGGAGCCAGCAGACUCACCUUGUACCCUCAGGCAAAUUCCAAGGUGGAGAACAAACAUUUUCACCUGAGGUGCAUGCGUACAUAAAGCUGCAUCUUUUAGCAGCAGAUUUUUCCUAAGCUUAGCAUUGCUUGUUCCAAAUACACUUCAAUACUUCUGUCCAUUUACCGUUACUCUGAAUUUUGAGUCCUAAAAUUACCUUUUUUCCAGGUCAUUAAUGAAAAAUUGACAGUGAACCACAUUACACAAAUUCACUUCUUCAGCCAAUUCUAUCUAGCUUAUGGUACUUUCAUGAAGACCAAACACUUUAUAGACAGCACCAAAACUACUACUGAAUGUUUUCUUGACAAAAACCUUGGCAUGGUUGCAAUUACAUAAAGGCAUCUCAUAGUAAUCUAAGUUCUUAAUGAGGGAGAGUUUUUGUACUACAAAUAAAAUAAAAUGAAAUAAAAACAGUAAGAGCAUUUUCUGUUCUUUACCUCUGCUGCUGUGGAGGCAUAAAGAAAAAAAUAAAGGCAAAGCUCUGAGAAACGUCAGUAUCAGAAACAAGCCCUGGUGCAUCCUAAUCAUC
ensembl:lncRNA